rnacentral:lncRNA from 1 species
UGAGGAAGGAACAUAAUCAAAGGGAUCACAGAUGGAUCCUUGGAUGGAGGCCAUGGACUCACAUGGUUUUAAAGAAGGAAAUCGUGCCUGGUCUUUUCAAGGUCUUCUUUUGACUCAGGUUUGUCAGGUCUCAAUGGGUUAAAGUAUUAUUCAUCUCAAAUAGUACUACACCACAAACUACUUAACAGACAUUUCAAAUAAAUUUGUCAAAGAAUUAUAAUUUUUGCA